rnacentral:rRNA from 1 species
AGAGUUUGAUCCUGGCUCAGGAUGAACGCUGGCGGCGUGCUUAACACAUGCAAGUCGAACGAUCCUUCGGGAUAGUGGCGGACGGGUGAGUAACGCGUGGGAAUCUGCCCUUAGGAGGGGGAUAACGGCUGGAAACGGCCGCUAAUACCCCAUAUGCCGAGAGGUGAAACGAAUUUCGCCUGAGGAUGAGCCCGCGUCUGAUUAGCUAGUUGGUGGGGUAAAGGCCUACCAAGGCGACGAUCAGUAGCUGGUCUGAGAGGAUGAUCAGCCACACUGGGACUGAGACACGGCCCAGACUCCUACGGGAGGCAGCAGUGGGGAAUUUUCCGCAAUGGGCGAAAGCCUGACGGAGCAACGCCGCGUGAGGGAUGAAGGCCUCUGGGCUGUAAACCUCUUUUCUCAAGGAAGAAGAACUGACGAUACUUGAGGAAUAAGCCACGGCUAAUUCCGUGCCAGCAGCCGCGGUAAUACGGGAGUGGCAAGCGUUAUCCGGAAUUAUUGGGCGUAAAGCGUCCGCAGGCGGCCUUGUAAGUCUGUUGUUAAAGCGUGGAGCUCAACUCCAUUUAAGCAAUGGAAACUACAAGGCUGGAGUGUGGUGGGGCAGAGGGAAUUCCCGGUGUAGCGGUGAAAUGCGUAGAUAUCGGGAAGAACACCAGUGGCGAAGGCGCUCUGCUGGGCCAUAACUGACGCUCAUGGACGAAAGCCAGGGGAGCGAAUGGGAUUAGAUACCCCUGUAGUCCUGGCCGUAAACGAUGAACACUAGGUGUCGGGGGAAUCGACCCCCUCGGUGUCGUAGCCAACGCGUUAAGUGUUCCGCCUGGGGAGUACGCACGCAAGUGUGAAACUCAAAGGAAUUGACGGGGGCCCGCACAAGCGGUGGAGUAUGUGGUUUAAUUCGAUGCAACGCGAAGAACCUUACCAGGGUUUGACAUCCUGCGAAUCCCUUGGAAACGAGGGAGUGCCUUCGGGAGCGCAGUGACAGGUGGUGCAUGGCUGUCGUCAGCUCGUGUCGUGAGAUGUUGGGUUAAGUCCCGCAACGAGCGCAACCCACGUCUUUAGUUGCCAGCAUUCAGUUGGGCACUCUAGAGAGACCGCCGGUGAUAAACCGGAGGAAGGUGUGGAUGACGUCAAGUCAUCAUGCCCCUUACAUCCUGGGCUACACACGUACUACAAUGCUACGGACAAAGGGCAGCAAGCUCGCGAGAGUUAGCAAAUCCCAUAAACCGUGGCUCAGUUCAGAUCGUAGGCUGCAACUCGCCUACGUGAAGGAGGAAUCGCUAGUAAUCGCAGGUCAGCAUACUGCGGUGAAUACGUUCCCGGGCCUUGUACACACCGCCCGUCACACCAUGGAAGUUGGCCAUGCCCGAAGUCGUUACUCCAACCCUUGUGGAGGAGGACGCCGAAGGUGGGGCUGAUGACUGGGGUGAAGUCGUAACAAGGUA